UACGUAGGGUGCAAGCGUUGUCCGGAAUUAUUGGGCGUAAAGAGCUCGUAGGCGGUCUGUCGCGUCGGAUGUGAAAAAUCCAGGGCUCAACCCUGACCUGCAUUCGAUACGGGCAGACUAGAGUUCGGUAGGGGAGACUGGAAUUCCUGGUGUAGCGGUGAAAUGCGCAGAUAUCAGGAGGAACACCGGUGGCGAAGGCGGGUCUCUGGGCCGAAACUGACGCUGAGGAGCGAAAGCGUGGGGAGCAAACAGG
rnacentral:rRNA from 1 species